rnacentral:lncRNA from 1 species
UCUCGCCCCUCCCCCUUUCCCCCUCCCCGCGGGCCGCCCCCCGCCUCCGGGGACGGCGGGCGGGGCCCCCUCGGCCAAGACGAAGGUGAUCUACCACCUGGACGAGGAGGAGACGCCCUACCUGGUCAAGAUCGCCGUGCCGGCCGAGCGCCUCACCCUCGGCCACGUCAAGGCGGCCCUGGCCCGGCCCGGCGCCAAGUACUUCUUCAAGAGCAUGGACCAGGACUUCGGCUGGUGUCUUCAGAGGUCCACCCACCCGAGCCGCCACUGCCCCCUUCUCCUGCUCCCAGAGGUCUGGAGCCUUCUCCCCCACCUCCUCUUCCUCCAUUGCCCGUAGAAAGGACCAGCGCAAUCUGCGACUCCCGCCCUCCUUUCUUCCACCCAAACCUCUCGGGCAGCUGCGAGAACUUGGACCACGAAACCGAGACGGAGUCCGUCGUGUUGCUGCGGAGAGAGUGGCCAUGGUGCCGGGAGAGCAGAGAGCACGGAGGUAAACCACCCCUCCCCGAAAGCUUCCGGGCCCUUUCCUUGGCGGGAGCGGCAGGUGGGGAGGCCCAAUCCUGGUGGGGGCAGAUUUUAUAUAACUUACACAUUGCUGACAACUCUAGACAGCUUACAAC